UACAGAGGUCUCAAGCGUUGUUCGGAUUCAUUGGGCGUAAAGGGUGCGUAGGCGGCGCGGUAAGUCGGGUGUGAAAUCUUGGAGCUUAACUCCGAAACUGCAUUCGAUACUGCCGUGCUUGAGGACUGGAGAGGAGACUGGAAUUUACGGUGUAGCGGUGAAAUGCGUAGAUAUCGUAAGGAAGACCAGUGGCGAAGGCGGGGUCUCUGGACAGUUCCUGACGCUGAGGCACGGAAGGCCCAGGGGAGCAAACGGG
rnacentral:rRNA from 1 species